rnacentral:rRNA from 1 species
UAGUGAGUUUGAUCCUGGCUCAGGAUGAACGCUGGCGGUAAUGCUUUAACACAUGCAAGUCGAACGAGCUUUCGAGCUAGUGCGGACGGUGAGUAACGCGUGAGAAUCUGCCUUCUGGUCGGGACAACCACUGGAAACGGUGGCUAAUACCGGAUAUGCCUAUGGGUGAAAGAUUAAUUGCCAGAAGAAGAGCUCGCGUCUGAUUAGCUAGUUGGAGAGGUAAAGCUCACCAAGGCAUCGAUCAAGUGCUGGUCUA